rnacentral:rRNA from 1 species
GCAUAUCAAUAAGCGGAGGAAAAGAAAAUAACAAUGAUUCCCUUAGUAACGGCGAGUGAAGGGGGAUAAGCUCAAAUUUUAAAUCUGCUAGGUUUUACUUAUCAGAGUUGUAAUUUGAAGAAGCGUUUUCCGCGUCUCGGUUGACCCAAAUCCUUUGGGAUAUGGUAUCAUAGAGGGUGAGAAUCCCGUUCGGUUGACCUUAUGACGCUUUACGAUACGUUUUCAAAGAGUCGAGUUGUUUGGGAUUGCAGCUCAAAAUGGGAGGUAAAUUUCUCCUAAGGCUAAAUAUUGGCGAGAGACCGAUAGCGAACAAGUACCGUGAGGGAAAGAUGAAAAGAACUUUGAAAAGAGAGUAAAAUAGUACGUGAAAUUGUUGAAAGGGAAACGAUUGAAGUCAGUCGUACCGACGGAAAAUCAGCUCUUUGAGUGCGGACUUGUGGGCUUACGUGAGUUUUAACACCUCGCUGUUUGCAACGUUCGUGUUUCUUGGGUGUACUUUUUCGUAUGGUUGGCCAAUAUCAGUUUUGAUCGCUAUAAAAUGACCGGCGGAAUGUAGCUUCGAUCUCGUAUUGAAGUGUUAUAGCCUCUGGUAGAUGUGGUGAUCGGGACUGAGGAUUGCAACGAAUACCUUUUGGGCUAUCCGUCUGAUCUCUGAAGGUUGCUUAGGUGCCGAAAGCGUGCUUACGGUUAUUUAAGUUGACAGUCAAAAGGUUAGAACGUGAUUAUAUUCGUUAAGGAUGUUGACGUA